ACGAACUUGCAGGAGCCCAGGACCUGGCUCCCUGGGCAGGGGCAGCCUGCAGCAGCACCCCUCACCAGCGCCAAGGCAGAAGGGAAGAGUCAGGGAUGCCCACGACACAGCAGCGACACCAGGAGUGGGGUGCAGAGAGGAGAGAUGAGGGCGCGGCUUCGGAGGAUGAGCGGGAGCUCACAGGAGGGAGGUUUCCAGGAAACAAGCAAACAGAAAACAGACACAAAGGUGCCCCCGUGGAAUGCUGCGUAGGGUGGAGCCCUGCACUGAGGACGGUGAGGAGGAUGAGAGAAAGGGACGACCUGAAAUUCCGGAGAAUAGAGCUCCACCGAGAGAGAUGGAGACAGAGGGCCAAAGAGCAUGAGAUCAGCUGGACACUUGCCGUUGGCAUCUUGAGGGGUGCUCCAUGGCUUCUACUUGGCCAAAUUCUCUUCAGUGUUAAAAUGCUGUAAAAUAUAAAACAUGUUAUUUCUUGAC
rnacentral:lncRNA from 1 species